UUCCGUGAAGGGCUAACCAACAAAUAAAGUUGUUCAUACGAAGAAUUCCCUUACACCAAAUUCACAAGCCCACUGUUCACUCUUCAAACUCGCAUCUUCUCCAUGUAUAUCUUCUUUCUAUCUUGUAGCUGCCCUCAGGUUUAAGACCAUCCAUUCUGGUUGUAUCCUAGUGCAAUUUUAUCUUUAAUAUAACAUAUCUUUUUCCAAUACGAAUAACUAUCCAAUGGAAUAGCAUAUUGCAACCAGUCCCUUCCCUUUAUCAUGCCAAAAAGAGUGCAGGAAUUAUCGUUGCAGCAGACUUGCUGUGUACUACUGCUAAUUGAAAAUCAUAAACUUGCAGAUUUCUUCUCCACAUGAUAUUGAAUUAUCUAAAUCGAGCUUACUUGUUAUACAAUUUGAAGUUCGCAAACUUCCUCUGUGGGUGAUUUCGAACACAUUAUUCAAACAAGAGUAACAAAACUUAUUUGAAUAUAUUAUUCAAUAGUUUUAGCAAUUUGAGUUGUGACCGUCUAUUUUGGAUCAGUACUACCUUUUGUUUGUGUAGAUUUAAAGAGAUACAUUUUAUUUUAUGGAUUAAUAGUAAUAUAUAUGCUUUCUCAGCUAGAGAAAAUUGUUGUUACUA